rnacentral:tRNA from 1 species
GCUACUGUGGAUCAGUUGGUAGAGCAGCUGAUUCGUAAUCAGCAGGUCGGCGGUUCGAUCCCGCCCAGUAGCUCCA